GACGAACGCUGGCGGCGUGCUUAACACAUGCAAGUCGAGCGAUGAAACACCUUCGGGUGUGAAUUAGCGGCGAACGGGUGAGGAACACGUGAGAAAUCUGCCUUCAACUCUGGGAUAACUCCGGGAAACCGGGGCUAAUACCGGAUAUGAGCCUUGAUCGCAUGAUCGGGGCUGGAAAGUUUUUCGGUUGAAGAUGAUCUCGCGGCCUAUCAGCUUGUUGGUGAGGUAAUGGCUCACCAAGGCGACGACGGGUAGCCGGCCUGAGAGGGCGACCGGCCACACUGGGACUGAGACACGGCCCAGACUCCUACGGGAGGCAGCAGUGGGGAAUUUUCCGCAAUGGGCGAAAGCCUGACGGAGCAAUACCGCGUGAGGGAUGAAAGCCUGUGGGUUGUAAACCUCUUUUCUCAAGGAAGAAGUUCUGACGGUACUUGAGGAAUAAGCAUCGGCUAACUCUGUG
rnacentral:rRNA from 1 species